rnacentral:misc_RNA from 1 species
UCAUUUACACCCCUCAAGCUAAGCUUGGUAUUGGGAGGCUGCCCCCUGGGGCACUCCCGAAAUGAAUCGGCGACGUGGGAUGAUCCCCUAGCGAAGUGACUUACAAAUCGCGCUACAUGAGAUCUUGCCCCCGUUGGCCGCGAAACCAACCAAUUCUAACGAUUGACCUCGGAUCAGGUAGGGAUACCCGCUGAACUUAA